rnacentral:rRNA from 1 species
CUUGGCGAACUGCUCAGUAACACGUAGUCAACCUGCUCUAAAGCGGGGGAUAACCCUGCGAAAGUGGGAAUAAUACCCCAUAGGCGAUAAUGGCUGGAAGGCCUCUUCGCUGAAAGCUUCGGCACUUUAGAAUGGGACUGCGGCGGAUUAGCUUGUUGUUGGGAUAAGAGCUCAACAAGGCGAUAAUCCGUACGGGUCGUGAGAGCGAUAGCCCGGAGAUGGUUUCUGAGACAUGAAACCAGGCCCUACGGGGCGCAGCAGGCGCGAAAACUUCGCAAUGGGCGAAAGCCUGACGAGGGAACCCUGAGUGACGUUACUUUUAGUGACGUCUUUUCUAGAAUGUAAAUAGUUCGAGGAAUAAGUGGUGGGUAAGACGGUUGCCAGCCGCCGCGGUAAUAACCGCGCCACAAGUGGUCAUCACGAUUAUUGGGCCUAAAGCGCCCGUAGCCGGGUCGGUAUGUCUCUGGUGAAAUCUUGCAGCAAACUGUAAGGCUUGCUGGAUAUACUACUGAUCUUGGAACCGGGAGAGGUAAGAGGUACGUUAUGGGUAGGGGUAAAAUCCGUUAAUCCAUAACGGACCACCUGUGGCGAAGGCGUCUUACUGGAACGGGUUCGACGGUGAGGGGCGAAAGCUAGGGGAGCAACCGGGAUUAGAUACCCCGUUAGUCCUAGCUGUUAACGAUGCCCGCUUGGUGUUGCACGUCUUUCGUGGACAUGCAGUGCCGUAGCGAAGGUUUUAAGCGGGCCGCCUGGGGAGUACGGCCGCAAGGCUGAAACUUAAGGGAAUUGGCGGGGGAGCACUGCCAGGGGUGGAGGCUGCGGUUCAAUUGGAUUCAACGCCAGGAACCUUACCCAAGAAGACAGCAGAAUGAAGGUCACUCUAAAGGGGUUACCAGACAAGCUGAGAGGUGCUGCAUGGCCGUCGUCAGUUCGUGCCGUGAGGUGUCCUGUUAAGUCAGGAAACGAACGAGACCUGUGCCAUUAGUUGCUAUUGCUUUCUCCGGAGAGCAAGCACUCUAAUGGGACCGCUGGUGCUAAACCAGAGGAAGGAACAGUCUACGGCAGGUCAGUAUGGCCCGAAUUUUUGGGGAUACACGCGGCCUACAAUGCGCAGGGCAAUGGGAUGCAACACCGUAAGGUGAAGCCAAUCUCCUAAAUCUGCGCUUAGUUCAGAUCGGGGGCUGCAACUCGCCCCCGUGAAGCCGGAAUCCCUAGUAAGCGAAGGUCAUCAUCGUUGUGAAAACCAGAUGAUUGAAAGCCACUUUCUUGUAUUGAUAAAUGACUGAAGAUUGGGCGGAUGGCAUUUAUGCCAUUUGGUUUGACUAUGAUAUCAAGAAAAGAAAUGAGCAGCACAAUGAUGUUGUCACGACAGUGAAAUCUUUCGCUGAAUACGUCCCUGCUCCUUGCACACACCGCCCGUCAAGCCAUCUGAGUGAAACCUUGGUGAGGCUGCG